GAGGGGUCAGGAGAUGCCGGCUUGCUGUUUGUCCGUUUAAUGCAAGGAGCCGCUCAUUAUCUGUAGCCCGACUCCUCUGAGGGCUUUCUGGGAGGACGCAAAGGAGGAAGAGGAGGCCAGAGUUUCAUUUGUUUAACCCCAAGACUCUGGAGCUGAGGAGGAAGAAGAGAAAGAAGAAGAGCGGGAUAGAGUCACGAGAAGUUCUGAGGAGGAAGAGGAGCGGCGGCCCUCCUGACUGAUGAAGAUUUGACGUGGAAGAAUUUCUGUGUUUUUUCUGUGCGUCACUGCGCUCAAAAAUGAAGAAGAUGAGUGGAGAUCGUCCUGGCCGAUGAAGAUCUGACAUAAAACCUUUACUCCGGAGUCUCGUGAAGUUCUCCUCGAAGUGUGACAACCUCGCACCCUCCAAAUGUUUCUUAUGGCUCAACAUUGGAAUGAACUACUGUGAUUUUUCUCCGCGUCAUUGCGCACGAAAAGGAGGACGAGGAGCGACGGUCCUCUUGACUGAUGAAGAUCUGACAUGAAGACUUCCCUCCAUAAUCUGGUGAAGUCUUCCAUGAGGUCCGGCCUUCUCUGAAACUCCAUGACCCCCCUUCUAAAUAUUUGUUAUGGUGCAAAAUUGUAAAAAGUUGGUGAUUUUUCAGUGCGUCAUUGCGCACAAAAGCGUAGGAGGGGAUGAGGGAGUACGAGCGCGAGCUAAACCGUGACGCACCUGGCUCACAGAUUCCAGAUCGCCAUCUAAGCGCGUGAAAGACAUCGAGUCCCUUGACACAUUCCCCUCCCCCCCCCCCCCCUCACUCCUCCUCGCCAAACCAUCGGAGAGUCUCCGUCAGCGCCUGCGGACCCCCACCUGCCUCCCAUCGAGGUCACCUUGGCACGAGCGCG